AGUGAACGCUGGCGGUAGGCCUAACACAUGCAAGUCGAACGGCAGCACAGUAAGAGCUUGCUCUUACGGGUGGCGAGUGGCGGACGGGUGAGGAAUACAUCGGAAUCUACUUUUUCGUGGGGGAUAACGUAGGGAAACUUACGCUAAUACCGCAUACGACCUACGGGUGAAAGCAGGGGAUCUUCGGACCUUGCGCGAUUGAAUGAGCCGAUGUCGGAUUAGCUAGUUGGCGGGGUAAAGGCCCACCAAGUCGACGAUCCGUAGCUGGUCUGAGAGGAUGAUCAGCCACACUGGAACUGAGACACGGUCCAGACUCCUACGGGAGGCAGCAGUGGGGAAUAUUGGGCAAUGGGCGCAAGCCUUAUCCAGCCAUACCGCGUGGGUGAAGAAGGCCUUCGGGUUGUAAAGCCCUUUUGUUGGGAAAGAACAGCAGCAGGUUAAUACCCCGCUGUUCUGACGGUACCCAAAGAAUAAGCACCGGCUAACUUCGUG
rnacentral:rRNA from 1 species